rnacentral:tRNA from 1 species
GCCUGGGUGGUGAAAUUGGUAGACACGCUAGCUUCAGGUGCUAGUGGCUUCACGGCCGUGGAGGUUCAAGUCCUCUCCCAGGCA